rnacentral:misc_RNA from 1 species
UCGUACGACGGAAGGUCUGCCAUCUCGUACAGGCCUCCGCGUACGCCCUGUUGCGGCAACGGCUCAUGUGUCAGCCCAGAAGGGUCCUCGAAUCAAAUCGACAAGCAGGACGGUAUGCCAUGCCAGCAAUGGACGAAUCACGCGAAAGGCUGAAGCAGCAAUUGGCUGCGGCGAGAGCGCGGUACCGCGACUCGAGCGACGUACGAACGGAUCGGCAGACAGCAGGGAACAAGUA